rnacentral:rRNA from 1 species
GUGGGGAAUAUUGCACAAUGGGCGCAAGCCUGAUGCAGCAACGCCGCGUGAGGGAUGACGGCCUUCGGGUUGUAAACCUCUUUUAGUAGGGAAGAAGCGAAAGUGACGGUACCUGCAGAAAAAGCACCGGCUAACUACGUGCCAGCAGCCGCGGUAAGACGUAGGGUGCAAGCGUUGUCCGGAAUUAUUGGGCGUAAAGAGCUCGUAGGCGGCUUGUCGCGUCUGCUGUGAAAACCCGAGGCUCAACCUCGGGCCUGCAGUGGGUACGGGCAGGCUAGAGUGCGGUAGGGGAGAUUGGAAUUCCUGGUGUAGCGGUGGAAUGCGCAGAUAUCAGGAGGAACACCGAUGGCGAAGGCAGAUCUCUGGGCCGUAACUGACGCUGAGGAGCGAAAGCAUGGGGAGCGAACAGGAUUAGAUACCCGUGUAGUCC